rnacentral:lncRNA from 1 species
CUAUUGUAAGUGGUGGAAACAAUCACUCAUUUGGGCUCUCAUAUUUUCAGCAUAUUCAAACUUGUCAAAGAGUGUGCCUCUGACUAUCAGUUUACACAUUUGUUAGAUGAAGAAGUAAACAAACAGCAAAAGUGUGCCGGUUGCAGGAUGGUUUAAUGCCAUAUAAUACUUGUUUUUGCAGUCCAGAAAAAUGUCAGUGAACUACCUUUUAUAGAGUACGUGCUUUGAUUGUUGCCACAUUGGCAAAAAAAGUGGAGCUAAAUAAUUUCUUUUGGGCUUCUUUGGCCAAAUUGUACACAUUUUUUUUUGAGAAGGUUGGCAGGAGUUAGAGCAUGAGUCCAUGGAACAGAGCCACACUGGUUGUUACCCAGAGAGCUUGGACCUAAAUCCUUGGCCCCAGGAGUAUUGUAGUCUAAUUUUUGGAAAGCCAAAUUAGAGUGGAUGAAUAAAGAGGCAAAAGUAGGGAAGGAGUUAUAGUCAGCAUCCUUUAAUUUGUGGAUAUAGGCUAAGAAGUUAAGGAUCGAAGUAGUUCGGCAUGUAAGUACAAAGUGUUUGGGGCAGUUGGUGGACUUUCAACAUCUAGUUUGGAAAUAGUCUGAGUAUUCUGUAGCUUUUACUCUCAAAUUUUGUUUUGCAUAAUGCUGUGGCUAUAUGAUGAAAAGUGAUUCCUAUGAAGACGCUAGCUAGACUUUGACCUUGCCCUUAUCAUGGCCAGAUGCCAUCUUUGUAUAUCAUCCCCUAAACCAUCAAUUUGUAGGUGGAGAUGUCCCAUUGUAAAUUCUUUUCACCCAACUGGUGAUGUAUGAGUAAUGGGUUGCCUCUUGGAUAACAUCAACUGUGGAUGGUAUGCACUUCCCCAGGCUAGUGGGAAUUCUAGCUCCUGCUAUCUUCCUCUACUCAUGGGAACAUGUUGGAAUUCAAUAAAGUAAAAAAAAAAAAGAAAGAAAAGAAAAAAACAACAUUGUUAAAGGGAAUAUGUUAAAUUCACAAAGCAUUUGCCAAUUUUAGUGCCGUUUUACUUGCAAUAAGAAAAUGUUGAUUUUUGGCUGGGCGCGGUGGCUAAAGCCUGUAAUCCCAGCACUUUGGGAGGCUGAGACGGGCGGGUCACGAGGUCAGGAGAUCGAGACCAUCCUGGCAAACAUGGUGAAACCCCGUCUCUACUAAAAAAAAAUACAAAAAAACUAGCCGGGCCAGGUGGCGGGCGCCUGUAGUCCCAGUUACUCAGGGGGCUGAGGCAGGAGAAUAGCGCGAACCCGGGAGGCAGAGCUUGCAGUGAGCCGAGAUCGCGCCACUGUACUCCAGCCUGGGCGACAGAGACUCCGUCUCAAAAAAAAAAAAAAAAAA